AUGGUCGCUCUCCGCUCGUAUUAAUCGACCGUGGAAUCAUAAUAAAUGCCGAAUAUUAUCACGAUAAUAUUUUGGAGACCUUGGACAUUCCAACAGGACUCAGCACGCGCCACCCAAGAAUGGUUACAAAAUGAGGUUCCUGGCUUAAUUUCCAGCGCACAAUAGCUACUAAAAUCUCCGGAUACCAAUCCGUUGGUCU